AAAAUCCAGGGACAUUUCCAAACUAAUUCAGCCGAUCUCACAUCUUUAUAAUCAAAUUAGUCCAUUUGCUAUAAAUUCAGAAAUACCAGAAACAAUUUUCCUAAUUGAAUAAAUAUUUAAUUUGUUGAAUUGUUUAAUUAUGAGGUCAUCGUCGGUUUUCCCGGAGAAUUCAACCGCCCCCGCUCCAUCGUCGUCGAAUUUUCCUCCGUUGCAUCUGCCGAAGUCUCCUGCCUGCGCGGCUCACCACCAGAAUUUAAGACAAAGUAAUGUAUUUCACAUGUUAGCUCGGAGGGAGGUAUGUCCACGAACUAAGCGAUGUUCCAAAAGGUUUUGGGGUGAGGCUUCAAUUCACGGUUGUAAAUCCUCUGGAUUAAAACACGAAUCAGCAAAAGAUGCGAGACAAGAGCUUUUUUCAUGGGUGGAGGCAGAGUCAUUGCUACAUUUAGCGGCCAAAUAUUGCCCUCUCUUACCUUCCCCCAGGUCUACCAUUGCAGCAGCCUUCAGUCCUGAUGGGAGGACACUUGCUUCUACCCAUGGAGACCAUACUGUAAAGAUAAUUGACUACCAAACUGGAAAAUGCUUGAAAGUGUUGAACGGUCAUCGGAGGACACCUUGGGUGGUUAGGUUCCACCCACUGUAUCCCGAAGUUCUUGCAAGUGGAAGUUUAGACCAUGAAGUUCGCUUGUGGGAUUCAAAAACUGCAGAGUGUAUAGGAUCGCGUGAUUUUUACCGUCCUAUAGCUUCUAUUGCCUUUCAUGCACAAGGGGAAAUUUUAGCUGUAGCUGCGGGCCACAAGCUCUACAUGUGGCACUACAACAGGAGAGGAGAGGCUUCCUCACCGACAAUUAUCCUUAAGACACGCCGUUCACUCCGUGCUGUGCAUUUCCACCCACAUGCUGCACCAUUUCUUCUAACUGCUGAGGUCAAUGAUCUUGACUCAUCAGACCCUUCAAUGAUGCUUGCAACUUCCCCUGGGUACUUGCGCUACCCUCCUCCAACCAUAUAUUUGGCAGAUACACACUCGGAUUAUCGAUCUAGCCUGGUAAAUGACCUGCCCAUCAUGUCUAUGCCAUUUAUAAUGUGGCCUUCAAUUGGCCGAGCUGAUGGGAGAUUACCUACUCAGCAGAGUGACGUUGGCACAAUCUCUAGUGUUUCACAACAAAGGGUGGAUUACUCUGUGAGACUUCUCACAUAUUCAACUCCAUCUGGACAGUAUGAACUAGUGUUGUCUCCAAUUGAAUCUAGUAGUUAUCCUGUGCAAGAACAGUCACAAACUAAUUCUGCAACAGCAGAAAUAGGAAACACUGUUUCUCAUCCUGCCAUGGAUCCAAUGGAAAUAGAUGUGCAACCUGAAGACAGAAGCAAUCAAUAUUUUCCUUUCCGUGAUCCAGCAUACUUGGAACUCCCCUUCUUGCAAGGGUGGUUGAUUGGUCAAAGCCAAGCCGGCCAACGUGCAAUGCAUGCACAAGAUGGAGGUUCUGCUGAAGGUUUGUCUGCUUAUGGUGAAAUAAGGAAUCCAUCGUCCAUGGUUCCCCCAGUUAUUGCAAAUACUGUUAAUAAUCCAAGGGGUUCUGAAAGAUCUGGUUCACAGCACCGAUCUUCACACUCUGUUACAAUGGCAAAUCGUCCUGGAAAUGGUGCUACUCUUAGCAGUAUUCGGCAGGAGCUAAACAGUUCUCAACCUUUUGUGAACCAAGUCCAAUCUGAAGUAGCCACAUCACUGCCUGUAGGUUCAUCUGCUGAAUUACCUUGCACUGUGAAGCUAAGAAUAUGGUCUCAUGAUGUGAGAAAUCCUUGCGCAUCUCUUGAUACAGAAAGAUGUCGCUUAACAAUUCCCCAUGCUGUGCUUUGUAGUGAAAUGGGUGCACAUUUUUCACCAUGUGGAAGAUUUUUAGCAGUCUGUGUGGCAUGUAUCCUGCCAAACAUGGAAGCUGAUCCAGGUUUCCAAGGACAUGGUGAGCAUGAUGUUGGAGCAGCCUCGACAUCUCCAACUAGACAUCCCAUUUCUGCUCACCAAGUUAUGUAUGAGUUAAGGAUAUAUUCUCUUGAGGAGGCUACAUUUGGAUUGGUUCUAGCCUCACGGGCUAUCAGAGCUGCUCACUGUUUAACUUCAAUACAGUUCUCCCCUACAUCGGAGCACUUGUUACUUGCGUAUGGACGUCGUCAUAGUUCACUUCUUAAAAGUGUCGUGGUUGAUGGAGAUACAACAGUACCCAUUUACACCAUUCUGGAGAUUUACAGAGUUUCUGAUAUGGAACUUGUGAGAGUACUUCCCAGUGCAGAGGAUGAGGUCAAUGUUGCUUGCUUUCAUCCUUCAGCUGGGGGUGGCCUUGUAUAUGGAACCAAGGAAGGAAAGCUGAGGAUUCUUCGUUGGCAUCUUUCUCAUAGCUUUAAUCGGGAGGGAUCCUGUUUUCCUGAUGAAAACAUGUUUGAGGUUCCUACUUACGCGUUGGAAGGCUGAUUGUCAUUGAUUAAAGGAGCUUGAUCAUGGGAAUUUAGAUGUACAGGAUUCAAUAGCAAGUAAGAUUAAAGGAAGAUGUUACAACACUGAGAGAUUUCAUAGGGAGCAUGGGUGCUCUCCUCACAGGCAAUAGUGUCCAUGUUGCACAGCGCGUAAAAUUGCACAUCAAUUGAGAAAUGACUUAGCUGGCAUCCAUGGAUUGGAAUUUAUGUCCACGAGGCAGUGAACUCAAGAUGUACUGAUGCUUGAGAAAAGGAUCCUGCAAAUACAAAAAAGUGAGGUGUACAGACUAACAUUUUUACUUGGAAAGAAGUCGUGGCUGCUCAGACUCAUGAAAUUUGAGAAGCAAAAUUCUGCCUGUUUCAUACAUCUUAUGUAAUCUUAGAUUUGUUUACUGCAUAAAGAUAUUCGAGGAAUUGAAUAUACAACCUAAUUUAACAAGAGAACAGACUGGACUCGAGAUCAAAGUUGAGAUGUGUGAUUUUGUUUGUCAUGACUUAUCUCCUUCUGGCAAAAAAUAGCCAGAAGUCAAAUAUUUGAUCCAGAAUGCAAGGCCAGCGAAAUUUACAUCAUUGAUGAUUACUUGGAUGGACUAGACUGGGAUUGCUCCUGGCUUGGCUUGCAAAAGAACUUAUGGAUGGUUGAUUGUGAGGUAACCCUGAAAAAACUAGUAAAAUAGUGCGCUGGCCAACCCGUUAUGUGGAUCUUCAACUUGGAAGACUGUAGUAUCAAGUCAGUUCUUACAUUAAGGUAUGUCUGCAGAGGAUUGAACAACAUUUGGUUAGUUCCUGAAAAUUAUACUAGUUCUUGUGGUUCUUGUUUGACAUUUACAUUAUCAGCAUUUAUUGCUUCUUCUUCUUUUAAAAUGGUGUUAGGAAUUGAAUUUGUUUGCAUAAUGAAAGAUGUUUCUUCAGGUCAGUUUCCUGAACAAAAGGGAUUUGUAUGUGUUUUAAUGACGAUGUUUAUAAGUACUUCUGGUGUGAGUGGAAA